rnacentral:tRNA from 1 species
GGCUCGGUAGCUCAGUUGGUAGAGCAACGGAUUGAAGCUCCGUGUGUCGGCGGUUCGAUUCCGUCCCGAGCCA